GCCGAAGUGGCGGAAUGGUAGACGCGCACGACUCAAACUCGUGUACGCAAGUGUGUGGGUUCGAGUCCCACCUUCGGUA
rnacentral:tRNA from 2 species